GCAAGUCGAGGGGUAACAUUUUUUGCUUGCACACAGAUGACGACCGGCGCACGGGUGCGCACCGCGUAUGGAACCUACCUUUUACAGGGGAAUAGCCUUUGGAAACGAAGAUUAAUGCCCCAUGCUACCUUCAGUAGCCUUACUGGAAGGUUAAAGCCUUCGGGCGGUAAAAGAUGGCCAUGCGUCCCAUUAGCUUGAUGGUAAGGUAACGGCUUACCAUGGCUACGAUGGGUAGGGGUCCUGAGAGGGGGAUC
rnacentral:rRNA from 1 species